AUUGCUGUAUCGUGAACUGUUCCUGAAAAUACAUAUGAAGGGUUUGGCGUGACAGCUAAAAAAAUUAAGAAAUGGAAGCUUUUGUGAAACCAGAUACAUUAGUGAGGGGAAUACAGGAAUUUUUAUGGAGUCCAGAGUUCUGGCUCCCAGAUGGAGUUUCAUGGCAUCAUUUGGAAAGCCAUGACGACCCAAAUGUUUACUAUCCGAAAUCAAGGGAUAUCCAUUGGUGCAUUGUUGUCGGCGUAGUCUUUAUGAUUGUUAGUUAUGCAUGCGAGAAAUUAUUUAUUCGACCUUGGGCUAGAUGGCUUGGAGUUAAAGGUAGACAAAAGCAGGCCCUCCCUAAUAAUGACUUGGAAAAGGUUUAUUGCCUGCAUAAAGGUACGGUGCCCGCAUCUGAAGUGCAGAGUUUAUCACAGCAACUUAAAAUGCGAGAGAUAGAUAUUGAAAAAUGGCUGGCACAUCGAGCACAACAAAACCGAGCAACCACCAGGGACAAGUUCUGUGAAUGCUGUUGGCACCUUUUGUUUUAUAUGACUAUGUUUAUUUAUGGAUGUGUUAUUUUAUGGGAUAAAGACUGGAUGUAUGAUUCCAAGUUAUUCUUUAAAGACUGGCCACAUGUGAGUUGACAACAUAUUAAAAUACCAAGUACUGGUAUAAAAUACCAGAUGUACAACAGGCUGUACUACAUUAUAUCAUAUUAAAUAAAACUGUGGAUUCUCAUUUAGAUAUAUAUAAGGCUGUUGAGACCUUUGAUCUUAAAUUUGAUCAAAGUUGCUCUGAACUCAUUAAUCAGUUUAGACACUGUAAAAAUAGAAUAUUUUUCCCAAACCCAUCUUGAAACAUAUCAACAGCCUGUACAUAUUAUAGAGCACAUGUCAAAGUUAUUAAACAUACAUUAUGCAAGAGCUAAAUCUGCCUAUUCCAAGUCUUUAUUUAGACUUCAGAUGUUAUAGAAAUUAUUAAUUAAGACCUUUAUUUACAUGGCAAGCUCAAAAUCAGCUCUGUAGACCCUAGGAUGGCUGGAUACAACUUGGAUUUAAACAGUCGUCCAAUUAAAAAUAAAUCGAUAAAUGGUGGACGUCAAUACCAGAGACUUCCAAUGAAAGGCCUUCCAAGUGAGGGUACCAUAGCCACUGAGAAUGUUACUUGAUAAUCGAGAAUAUGUGGGUGGUGUUAUCAUCUGUCAAUCAAAAGAUCGGCAAAUGGGGUAGAUAGUGCGGACACAGUUGAUGCCUAUUUCUAGUCCAAACUUCCAACAGUGACAACUCAGUUCAGAAUAAACAUGUCAGCAAUGAUUUGUAUUAUUAUUAUUUGGUGGAAAUGGGAUUUUAUUGGUCUCAAAUAUUUACAAUAACAAUUUCUGUUAAAAGAAAGGAUUUUAAAGAACUGGUUUUGCACCACAUUACUACAUUAGGUUUAAUGUAUUUCUCCUGGUUUAUCGAUAUGGUACGAAUUGGAGCAGCCGUUUUAAUUUUACAUGAUAUCGCUGAUAUUUGGGUGUUGAGUGCAAAAAUGUUAAUAUACAGCAAACAUCAAUCUUUAGCAGAACUAAUGUUUACUGGUUUUGUGAUUGUAUGGGUUAUUACACGAGUAAUAAUAUAUCCCUACUGGAUAUUGUACAGUGUGAUUGUUGAUGUAGCACUAUAUUUUCCACCAACGCCUUCUCAUCAAUUGUUAGCUGUAAUGCUUUUUAUAUUACAAAUUUUACAUUGGAUAUGGACGUAUUUCAUCUUUCUUGCCGCAGCCAUGAAGUUCAAAUAUGGAAAAGUAGAGAAGGAUACUAGAAGUGAUUCGGAGAGUUCUGACACAGAAGACGAGGUUAUAGAAUCAAACGGAGUUGAUGGUAUCCAAACACAUAAAGUUAAAUCACAAUAGUAAUUAACGAUAUAUUGUUACAACGAAAGAGAUCUGAAACAUCUCAAACAUUUAUUAAUACUCCAUUGCAUAAAGAAUGAUACUCAAUUGUAAAACAUGAAAUUGUUGUGUGGAACAUAACAUAAAACAAAUGAUUUAAAAAAUGUGAUACUCCAUUGUAAACCACUAAAUCACUAAAUGUUUAUUCUAAUUUAAUGUUUAGUCCAAUGUUUUUCAUUUUAUGGUAAUUCCUUCAACGAUUAUAUUUUGUAGUUCCACAUUUUAAGUGGUAGUAUAUUGUUGUCACCCCUGUUUAUUGGGGUCUGUCAAUCUUGUGAACACUCUGAAAGUCAGGCUUGUGAGAUUUUUUUAUAUCAAACUUGCUAGAAGUGUUUGGCUAGUGGCUUAUAUUGAAAUUCAGAUUUUAUGGCGAAAUUUGUUUGUGUCACCAAACCCUGGUACUAGCACCCAUUCCAAAUUUCAGAUCUUUUGAGAUGGUUUUAUUGCAUCUUUAAAUGAGGAACAAUGUGUUACGUACAUGGUGCCUCACUUCACAAAGCUGUUGAUGGAUGUAGGUUUGUUACUUGUUUUAAAAAUGGCUAUUUUUGAUUUAUUUAUUAGAGACAGAUUAGUUCAGUUUUGGGUCAUGGGCUGUAUCUAAAGUUACCAGUUCCAUUCUAGGUAGAUUGAUCAAAAUGAAAGUCCAUUUGAUACGAGAACAGUAAUAUGCAAUUCUUAUUUUGAGGAUUCAUUAUUAGCUGUUUCACUGAUCUAUAAUUUAAUAAUCCACAUACUUUGAUCCAUAAAAUUGAGAUGAAUUAAUUAUGAUUUUCAUUCUCUUAACCCACCCUUGACCCUACCCACAUGUGUUAAUUCUUUUGCUGCAGCCCGAUCCAUUCAUCUGUUUAUAAGUUGAGACAUGAGGUUCGGCUAUUGUAAUUUAAUGUAAAAUAGAAUAUGUAUAUCACUUCAGGGGGAGAUAUUACUUUAUAUCUGAUGGUCUUAACUAUAAAAACUUUAAGUAAAAUAUGUUAAAUAGCCUACCAACUAAAUUUGUUAACCAUUUUAGGGGGAGUUUAUUAGGAGAAAACUGUUAGGGUUUGAAUCAUAUUUUGACAAACUUUACUAUUUAUCCGUUCAAAACAGUUUUACUUCUUAAGAUUCGUCAAUAAUAGUUUCAAACAGGAAAGCUCAUGUAGCAGUUUGAUAUUUUAGUGGUUUUGAGAGCCACAUGAAAGUACAAAACAAGGAAACUGAAACUAAAACCAGUUGUAGUGUCUUAAGAAAGCCUAUAUGACUUUUUUUUAUUACAGAGAGCUGUUCAUAGUCUAUGCCUCUGCGUUUUGAGUUGAGUCUAGGGAGACGUAGUUUCAUAUGUUUUCGGUCUGUCCUGGAUAUACCAAUAUGAACUAUAUCAUUUUUGACUAACUAUAAAUUACAGUAAAUAUUUACAUGUAAAAAUUUGAAAAGGGUUAGUAAUAUUUUAGCAUUGUCUCUAUGCAAACCGUAUUUAAUAGAUUAAACUUGUGAUCAUACUGUUAACCCAGACAGUAUUUUUUUAUUUUAUAAUAUUUGUAUAUAGAAAAAGGUUUUGUGAUAAUAUUGCAUGUCGUUCACUAACAAGAUUUACCACUUCUAACGUGAUAGGUUAUUUCUUGCCCCGAACUCAAUGAACAAUCAGACAGUAUUAAAAACUAUAUCAAAUUCUUCAAUUCUUCAUAAAGCAUCUCUUCAAUUUGUGGACAGACACAGGUGAUGACAGUAUAUGCCUAUAUUAAGUGCAUAUGGUUAAUUAAUAUAGAAUGUUAAAAAGUUUCAGUGGCCACUUAAAACAUACUUAUUAAACUAACUUGCCCCCCCCCCCCCUAAAUUACUAAAUUACGAAGUAGCUCUCCUCUUUAUUUUCAGCAAAUACUGUACAUCAAAGAUCACCAGUCUCAUUUUGUUAAUUAUUAUUCAGAUGUUUAUAUACUCUUCAAAAAAAAGUAGGGGAUAUUCAAAAACAAUACAAAUCUGCGGAAAUGCACUGCUGUUUUUAUUAGAGGUAACCAGUGUAUGUUAAUAACAGGCCAAUUGCCUACACAUGAACAUUGACAGUUCAUAUGGACGGCUUAUCUGACGGCCCCAUUUCACUCGCAAAGAGAUACACUGUCAAAAGUGAAAAUGAACGUUUUCGAUUUUUGUCUUAAUAAUGAGUAAUUGCUCCACCAAUCCUCAGACCUUCAGCAAUUCGUCGUGGCAUGCUCCUAAUCAACCGUCCAAUCACGAUUUGGGGCAAUCUGAACCACUCUUGCAGUGUGGUCCGGUGACGUCGACGAACGCAUCUCCCGAUCAUGUCCCAGACACACUCUAUACUCAUGG